AGCAGCCGCGGUAAUUCCAGCUCCAAUAGCGUAUAUUAAAGUUGUUGCAGUUAAAAGCUCGUGGUUGAAUUUCGGGAUCAGUUGAUCGGUCGUGCCUCGGUACGUACUGGUCAAAUUGAUUCCUACCUUCUGACGAACCACGAUGUCAUUAAUUUGGUGUCGCGGGAAAUCAGGACUGUUACUUUGAAAAAAUUAGAGUGUUUAAAGCAGGCUCGCGCUUGAAUACAUUAGCAUGGAAUAAUGAAAUAGGACGUUUGAUUCUAUUUUGUUGGUUUCUAGGAUCGACGUAAUGAUUAAUAGGGAUAGUUGGGGGCAUUAGUAUUCAAUUGUCAGAGGUGAAAUUCUUGGAUUUAUUGAAGACUAACUACUGCGAAAGCAUUUUGCCAAGGAUGUUUUCAUUAAUCAAGAACGAAAGUUAGGGGAUCGAAGACGAUCAGAUACCGUCGUAGUCUUAACCAUAAACUAUGCCGACUAGGGAUCGGAUGAUGUUAAUUUUUUCAAUGACUCAUUCGGCGCCUUA
rnacentral:rRNA from 1 species